UUUAUAGCAAUUCCAAUAGUCACCACCCAUAAGAUGGCACCCAAACCUACCAGAAACGAGAUAAAAACGAAACCGCUGUUACGGCCUCUUGGCCUCCUCGCAACAACAGCAGUAGUAGAGUUCUGCCCUUCAACAAUAAUCUGCCUGGUUGUCUUAAAGCUCACAACCCGUUCAAGUGCCCUAGUAAUCAAGGCAUUCUCUG
rnacentral:misc_RNA from 1 species